UACGAAGGGUGCUAGCGUUGUUCGGAAUCACUGGGCGUAAAGCGCGCGUAGGCGGUUAUUCAAGUCAGGGGUGAAAUCCUGAGGCUCAACCUCAGAAUUGCCCUUGAAACUAAAUAACUAGAGUGUCGGAGGGGAUAGCGGAAUUUCUAAUGUAGCGGUGAAAUGCGUAGAUAUUAGAAGGAACACCGGUGGCGAAGGCGGCUAUCUGGACGACAACUGACGCUGAGGCGCGAAAGCGCGGGGAUCAAACAGG
rnacentral:rRNA from 1 species